UACAGAGGUCUCAAGCGUUGUUCGGAUUCAUUGGGCGUAAAGGGUGCGUAGGCGGCUCGGUAAGUCGGGUGUGAAAUCUCGGAGCUUAACUCCGAAACUGCAUUCGAUACUGCCGUGCUUGAGGACUGGAGAGGAGACUGGAAUUUACGGUGUAGCGGUGAAAUGCGUAGAUAUCGUAAGGAAGACCAGUGGCGAAGGCGGGUCUCUGGACAGUUCCUGACGCUGAGGCACGAAGGUCAGGGGAGCAAGCGGG
rnacentral:rRNA from 1 species